rnacentral:rRNA from 1 species
UACAGAGGUCCCAAGCGUUGUUCGGAUUCAUUGGGCGUAAAGGGUGCGUAGGCGGCGUGACAAGUCACUUGUGAAAUCUCCGGGCUUAACUCGGAACGGUCAAGUGAUACUGUCGUGCUAGAGUACAGAAGGGGCAACUGGAAUUCUCGGUGUAGCGGUGAAAUGCGUAGAUAUCGAGAGGAACACCUGCGGCGAAGGCGGGUUGCUGGGCUGAUACUGACGCUGAGGCGCGAAAGCCAGGGGAGCGAACGGG